rnacentral:rRNA from 1 species
AGAGAGAGACAUGCGCGCAUAUCAAUAAGCGGAGGAAAAGAAACUAACUAGGAUUCCCUCAGUAACGGCGAGUGAAGCGGGAAGAGCUCAAAUUUGAAAUCUUCAAGGUUCUACCUUGACGAAUUGUAGUUUAAAGAAGUGUUUUCUGUUGAGUUUUGGUAAAAGUUCUUUGGAAUAGGACAUCAUAGAGGGUGAGAAUCCCGUAUUUGACCUUUACUUUCAACUUUGUGAUACACUCUCAAAGAGUCGGAUUGUUUGGGAAUGCAGUCCAAAAUGGGUGGUAAAUUUCAUCUAAAGCUAAAUACUGGCGAGAGACCGAUAGCGAACAAGUACCGUGAGGGAAAGAUGAAAAGAACUUUGAAAAGAGAGUUAAACAGUACGUGAAAUUGUCAAAAGGGAAGCGUUUGACACCAGUGUUGUUUUUUCUCGAAAAUCAAUUAAAAAAGGCAGGAUUUUGUGUUGUAUUGACUUUAUCAGCUUUCUGCACUCUUUUCUUGUCUUUUUUUAAUGCACUUUUCGUUUAACAAGUCAACAUCAAUUUCUUUUGUUGUAAAAGGGGUCAUUGGAAGGUGGCUUUCUUUUCGGAGAAAGUGUUUAUAGCCUUUGGCCUCUGCAAUCGGAGAGAUUGAGGUCUGCAGCGUAGAUCCUUCGGGGUUAGAUACAUUUGUGCUAAGUUAUAGCCUUUCAUAGACAACUUGUUGACUAUGAUCAGUCAUGUAGCUUACUCGCUUAUGCUAUUUUACCUACGCUUAGGAUGUUGAUGUGAUACUGCGAGCA